rnacentral:sRNA from 1 species
CACGCCUCGGUGCUCUCGCACAUAUCCAUCUCACCCUUGUGCAUCACCGCGUGGGGGCCCCUUUUGGUUAUUUCUGAGGGGGGCUUUUCAUGUUUUUACACAAACACCCUUUUAAUGCAUGUGUAGAAUGUCUUACUUGUUGUGAUCACACACAAUCUAUACAACUUUCAACAACGGAUCUCUUGGCUCUCGCAUCGAUGAAGCACGCAGCGAGAUGCUAUACGUGAUGUGAAUWGCAGAAUUCAGUGAAUCAUYGWAUCUUUGRACGCACCUUGCGCCCUUUGGUAUGUCCGAGGGGCACACCCGUUUGAGUGUCGUGACAUUCUCUUACCUUCUUGGUGGCUUGACCGGGAAGGCUUUGGACUUUGGAGGCUUUUCGCUGGCUCUUCUCUUGUUGAAGCCAGCUCCUCUGAAUAUGAAUUAGCGGGGUCUGCUUUGCUAAUCCUUGACGUGAUAAGAUGCUUCUACGUCUUGGGUUUUGCACUGUUCCGCUUCUAACCGUCUCAUAGAAGACUAUGGCCGAGUGAUUGCCACUUGUACCCACAACCCUUGACCUCAUAAUCGGGUGAGACUACCCGCUGAACUUAAGCAUAUCAAUAAGCG